AACAUUCACAAUGACAAUGCUAACAUGCUGGCCUUCUGUCAACAACCUUAAAUGGAAUAACCACUGAACCUGAACCUUCUGAGCUCAUUAAACAGACACCUGGCAGAUGAAACAGAGGAAACUA